ensembl:lncRNA
CACCGCUCCGGGUUUUGUUCGGGCUGGGAAGAUGGGCGCUCUGCAAUCGCCGGAGCAGUGACCAAAAAUGAGAACUGUGGCAGAGUCUGGCUUUAUGCUCUUCAAAUACAUCUGUUUUAUUGACAUAUAGUGAACAUCAUUCCCUAACCUUCUCAGAGCUACAUUGUACCAGGUUUCUGCAUGCUGAAGAUCCAGUAGGAAACUUCAAAGAAGAAGUAGGGACAGUGGGACCCCUAGAUGAAAACAACCAAGGUAAUUUUGAAACCUAAUUCUGGUGGAAAUAGAGAAAUAUGAGAGAAAGAAGAAGCACAAGCUGGAAUCAAGAUUGCCGGGAGAAAUAUCAAUAACCUCAGAUAUGCAGAUGACACCACCCUUAUGGCAG